rnacentral:rRNA from 1 species
CUAUGCGCCUUGCCAGCCCGCUCAGUCAGAGUUUGAUCCUGGCUCAGGAUGAACGCUGGCGGCGUGCCUAAUACAUGCAAGUCGAGCGAACAGACGAGGAGCUUGCUCCUCUGACGUUAGCGGCGGACGGGUGAGUAACACGUGGAUAACCUACCUAUAAGACUGGGAUAACUUCGGGAAACCGGAGCUAAUACCGGAUAAUAUAUUGAACCGCAUGGUUCAAUAGUGAAAGACGGUUUUGCUGUCACUUAUAGAUGGAUCCGCGCCGCAUUAGCUAGUUGGUAAGGUAACGGCUUACCAAGCAACGAUGCGUAGCCGACCUGAGAGGGUGAUUGGCCACACUGGAACUGAGACACGGUCCAG